CCAAAAAGCUAAAAAGAUUCUGUCCACGAGGCAUAUUCAUCCUUAAGAUGUGCGGUGUGGAUAGUCCUCUGCCUAGCCUAAUAAAAACAGAAACAAACCACUGUUUUUCAUAAAAGCUGACUGUCCCCCGUUCCGCCCUGAGUGUUGUAUGCAGAACAGAUGAUUCGACCGCAGCAAACUCAAGAACUAUCUCCUGCCCUAAGUUCCCAAAUUGUUCCUAAAAAUAUACUUGCGAAGUCAAAAGGGUACAACCAGAAACAAUCAGAACCUCAUACUCAAAGACUCCGGUUCCUCAAAUCAUAUGCUAGGUAUUCAAUUUAGAGAAGAAAGUACUUCCUGCUAGGGCAUUUGAAGUCUGAUCCUCCUAAAGAUUGAUUUUUCAUUGAAAAAGCCCUCAGGUCCUAUCGUUUGCAGG